rnacentral:rRNA from 1 species
GGACCAAGGAGUCUAACAUCUAUGCGAGUGUUUGGGUGUCAAACCCAUACGCGUAAUGAAAGUGAACGGAGGUGAGAACCCUUAAGGGUGCAUCAUCGACCGAUCCUGAUGUCUUCGGAAGGAUUUGAGUAAGAGCAUAGCUGUUGGGACCCGAAAGAUGGUGAACUAUGCCUGAAUAGGGUGAAGCCAGAGGAAACUCUGGUGGAGGCUCGCAGCGGUUCUGACGUGCAAAUCGAUCGUCAAAUUUGGGUAUAGGGGCGAAAGACUAAUCGAACCAUCUAGUAGCUGGUUCCUG